ACACCGGCAGCUCGAGUGGUAGCCGCUUUUAUUGGGCCUAAAGCGUCCGUAGCCGGUCUGAUAAGUCUCUGGUGAAAUCCCGCAGCUUAACUGUGGGAAUUGCUGGAGAUACUAUCAUGACUCGAGGUCGGGAGAGGCUGGAGGUACUCCCAGGGUAGGGGUGAAAUCCUGUAAUCCUGGGAGGACCACCUGUGGCGAAGGAGUCCAGCUGGAACGAACCUGACGGUGAGGGACGAAAGCCAGGGGCGCGAACCGGAUUAGAUGCCCGGGUAGUCCUGGCCGUAAACGAUGUGGACUUGGUGUUGGGAUGGCUUCGAGCUGCCCCAGUGCCGAAGGGAAGCUGUUAAGUCCACCGCCUGGGAAGUACGGCCGCAAGGCUGAAACUUAAAUGAAUUGGCGGGG
rnacentral:rRNA from 1 species